GGGCCUCUGCCGCUGCUGCAGGGGCUCGGGCAGGUAGCUGGGGGUCUCUGUCUUUGGGCUGCGGCUGGGAGCUGCGUGUUUCUAAGAACAGCCGCGGAUGGCGUCCGGCGGCAGUGUCAGUAACAAUCAGGUCCUCAAAGGGGCAGCGCAGAGGAGGAAGUGUGGGAAAAUACCAGCGCUGCUCGUGCUGGAGCGCAGGCGGCCGCGGAAGCGGCUCCGGAGGAGCCUCAGCUGCCAUCCUGAAGGGUUGCCUCAGACCUCCAGCAGCUGCUGUGCCUGGGUUGCUUCCUAUUGUUUGCUGAGCUCCUUCACGCUCUGGCACAGCAGCUGCUUGCUUGCUUGCCGCAGGAAUCAAAGCCGAUCUGUGUUGAUGUGCCUCUGGAAAGCCUUCCUGCCCAACCAGGUCGCCCUGUGAGCUUGUUGAGUUUCCAGAUGUCUUGGGAUCAGCUUUGCUGUUGCCUUUUGAGAUGCCCCCAAGUGUGUCCAGUCUCUUUCAAUGGUCGUGAUCCAGAGUUGAAAAGGGUGUGAAGGGUCCAGGGGAUGUGUGCAGGAAGUGUCGUGGGAAGGAGGAGGCAGCAUGGUUUAGAGAGAACUGGAAGUGUCUAGCGGCAGGAAGGAAGGGAUGGCAACGGCACCACACACUGCAGUGCCUUCUGGCAAACAUGUGUCUGAGAUGGACCUUCAGAUGUCUCUAAAGCAGUUGCUGGGAGCAGCAUGAGCCUCUUGAAUAGAAUUUUGGACAACUUAUUUCUUGUGUCCUAAGGGUCACGAUUUUGAGGCUUUCUUGUUUCAAAAGGGAAAAAGAAGCUCUAGGGUCUCAUCACUAAAGAGUGCUCCUUGCUUCUCCUGGCAGCACUCUCCACCCUUGAAAGAAGUGUCUCUUCCAAACAGCACAGGGCAAGGAUCAGUAGAAAAAUGAACAGGGGCUCAGUUUUUCCUAAUCUCUCCACUCCCAUCCCCAUUCUCACCUUUAGCUGUUGAAAAGUCAUAAUAGCUGCGAUGGCACCAAGGAAAAGGAAGGACAAGUUGAUCAUCAGGAGAAGCUGGAGAAGACCUCCUUGGGAAUCCAAGGUGCAGUGGGUCCAGAGAGUGAGAGCUGGGGCAAGAAGAGACUAAUUUCAUUGAACUGGAACAUCUCAGUAAGACUGGCUCCAGCCUGCUGGAGAGAUGCGCUGCCUCCCUUGGCAGAAGGCCUUCUGUGGAGCUCACCGUUCCCUGGAGACUCUUAGGCUCCAGGGUGUAUUUGCUUUAUAGGGCUCUGGAGAAAGUUGAGUUUGAUUAGUUGCCAGGAGUCACUUUAUCAAGAGUUCUUGUGGCAGUCUCCUCAACAGGACACUGCUUUGGGUGUGUGUGAAUAAACUCGCUCACAGCUUGGGCCUGCAGACUUCAUCUGCAGCUCUUCAGCAGAGAAGCAAUUUGGCAUGGGGGGCAGCUGGGGUUACUGUAGACAGAAAGGGGUUAGCAUUGAUCCCCUUUGGUGCUAGGAUGGACUUGGGAGUUAUGUGGAGUAGCCUAAAUCCUUGAUGUGCCUUUGAGAAGGGGCUCCAGGAUGCUGCUGGAUGUAGAAAAGUCUCCAAGGUGUGGGAGCAGGCUGGAGGGUUGCAGUGGAUGGGAAAUCUUGGGCACGAAGAAAGAUUUGCACAGAAGGUGUUUGGGAGGAAUUCAGGGGAGCAGGAAUGUGCUGAGAGGUGCAGAGGCUUGCACAGAUGGUGCUGGCAUGAGACCCAGGUAUGACUUGCUGGGGAAGGACUCUGGGAAGGAUGUACUCUUACAGCCCUCCUGGAGUCACUGCAGAGGGUCAGCCCUGCCUGACGUGCACAGAAGGUUGACUUCAUGUGGUCUGUACAUGACUGAGGCAGAGCUAAUGCUUGGAGGAUUCUCCUUUCCAUAUAGGUUGUCUUGUUUCAGCAGCAUUUCCAGAUCCAAACCCAAGCCUGUCUGCUUCCUGAGCAUGAGCCCUACCCAAAAGCAGAGCAGUCCAGCCGUGCUGCAUGGACAGGACGAGCCUGCUGAGACAGCACUGCAAAGCAGUAAAGCUCCACCACACUUGCUCUUGGUGUUUGCUAAGUUUAGCUGCCUAAUAGUUCUCUCCCAAUUUGUUUUGGGCAUCAAAGUGCACUGAAUCAUACCAGAGAGGUUUUGCUUUAGAGCCCUGAGCUUUUGGCCUUCUUCACAGUAAAACACAUCAAGGGUAGCUACAACCACACUAGAUCCUCAGGGUGUGCAGGCAGCUAUCCCUGGCAGACUGGGGUGGUGUCGUGUGUCAUUCCCUGUCUUGGCUGUCUGCUGGGACUGUUCACACAAGGCUGUGUUCAAACCAAGACUGGAACCUGUUCUGAGAGCAUGCCUUGCUUCCCCAUCCCAGGAGCUGGAGUUCCUGCUCCUGGCCUGCUGCACAUGCUGGCACUAGAAAACAAUUCCUCUUCUAAUUUAAAUGUUUCAUGAAUAGAGUUGUUGCUUUCCUCCUGUUUGUCACUUAGCAGUGGGAAGGGAGGGAGGGGUGGGAGAACCUGUGCAUGCAGAUGUAUUUAAAGUGCGUUGACCAAAGGUUUUCUUGAAUCUGUGAAGUUUUCCUAUCUGUGAAGUCAUCAGACUGCUGGGCAGUGAGGAGCUGCUGGUGCUGCUGAGUCUGUCUUGGUUACAUUUCUUAGUAAGCGUUAAAAUAAUAAAGUAUGUUUGUAAAA